rnacentral:ncRNA from 1 species
GACUGUCUAAUUAAAACAAAGCAUUGCGAUGGCCCUCAAGGGUGUUGACGCAAUGUGAUUUCUGCCCAGUGCUCUGAAUGUCAACGUGAAGAAAUUCAAACAAGCGCGGGUAAACGGCGGGAGUAACUAUGACUCUCUUAAGUUUUCGGCAAUUCCUAUCAUUAUAAGCGGCGGUUGCUCUCACCAUCGCACAGUCUUGUCGAUGGUACGAAGAGCCAGUUUUGCCAAUUUUAUCAAGAAGAGCCAGCCUAGCCAAAUUGAAAAAAUAAUUACAACCUUGCUUAAAGAAUGGCAAUAAC